rnacentral:rRNA from 1 species
GACGAACGCUGGCGGCGUGCUUAACACAUGCAAGUCGAACGGAAAGGCCCUGCUUGCAGGGUGCUCGAGUGGCGAACGGGUGAGUAACACGUGGGUGAUCUGCCCCUUACUUUGGGAUAAGCCUGGGAAACUGGGUCUAAUACUGGAUAGGACCAUGCUGUAGGUGGUGUGGUGGAAAGAUUAGUUUCGGUAAGGGAUGAGCUCGCGGCCUAUCAGCUUGUUGGUGGGGUAAUGGCCUACCAAGGCGUCGACGGGUAGCCGGCCUGAGAGGGUGGACGACAACGUUGAGACUGAGAUACGACGCAGACGCCUACGAGAGGCAGCAGUGGGGGAUAGUGUACAAUAGGCGCAAGCCGUAUGCAGCGACGCCGCGUGGGGUAUGACGGCCUUCGGGUUGUAAACACCAGUCGGCCAUGACGAAGCCCUUGUGGUGACGGUAGUGGUAGAAGAAGCACCGGCUAACUACGUG